AUGGCAUCACAGAGUGUGGGGUGCGCAGUGCUAGGAGUCGAAGGCCACUGGCCGAACCCAUCGAUGCAUACGAAAAGGAGCUCAUCGACCAACACCCAUAUCCCCCGUCAGCAUCGGAAGAUAGAGGGUUGCCUCUAUGCUGGAAACAUGGAUUUAAACCUUAAAACCUUCUUGCGAUACAAAAUAUCAGUUUUCUCUCAUGGACCGUGUCAGGGAGUUGAUCAACAAGAGAGGUUACAGAAAGCCCAACAAGAAAGGAUCCCUCUGACCAACAACAAAGUCAUCGAGGAGGAUUUGGGGAAGCACGACAUCAUCUGCAUUGAGGACCUUGUGCACAAGAUCUUGACCAUUGGCCCACACUUCAAGGAGGCCAACAACUUCCUAUGGCCAUUCAGGCUUAAGGCACCACUUGGUGGCCUGAAGAAGAAGUGGAACCACUACGUUGAGGGUGGUGACGUUGGCAACCAUGAGAACUACAUCAACCAGCUUGUUAGAAGGAUGAACUAG
rnacentral:rRNA from 1 species